CAUUCCAUCUCUUCUUCACUUAGCAACGAGGCCCACAGUUCCGUGGCGGGGAGGCCUCUUUUUCGGAUGUUCUCCAUUUGAAGCCAGAGGAAAGUUGUCAGAAAAGUUGGUCAACCAAGAAUCUGCUUCAUAACCAAUAUUCUGAGAAUUGACCCAACCUUUUCUGUAGAAGCUGUCCCUCUAAGGAUCCAAUGGGCCUUUUUGAACCCUGGAUGCUUCAUCUCUUUCAUCAUAGGUUGUCCAAGUAGACCAAAGAACAUACUGAUUGCUUCCUUUUCCUAGAAGUAAUUUUUUAUUGACAGAAUCCAUGCCAAGGAUGAGGAAGUCUUGGCAUCUUUCCCCGAACUUCAAGAGAAUACCAAAAUUCAGCUUUCCUUUUCUUUGGAUCUUGACCCAAAUCCUCCCCAUCUGGGUCAUCAUCUGACAUCAACUAUCCAUCUGCAACUGGAAAAUAGGUCCCUCUUUUGUAGGAUCAGCUGGAGUCCAUUACAGUUUUCUUAUUACUUGAACUCCCAUGUUCUUGUUCUCCUGGUUAAGAAAAUUCAACUGAUACUACCAUGGGCCACAUGAGAUUGUGAUAUAUUAUUAUUUCAGGGCCCUGAUCAUACUCUGGAGCUAUUUUGUCCCUUUACCUAACUUUUCUACUAUUGGAAUAAGAAGCCCUCUAUUACCCCACUGUCUUAUAUUUUUUCAGCAACACUACAAUAUAACAGAAGACUAUUUGCUGACAGGAGUUCCUGGCAUCAAAUGAGGGCAAAGCUGGUCAAUAGACCUCCCUUAGCAGCAAUGUGCAAUUGUGAAUCACCAUGUCUUUCCCACCCUUGGAGACUUCAAAGAACAAAACAAUAGCCAUCUGUGUCUCUUGUCUAAUUAUCAAAAUGCCUUUAACAUCAUUCUUAGUGACAUUAUAUAAGCAUACAAUAAAAAGAAUAUAUGCUACCACUAA